rnacentral:lncRNA from 1 species
AUUUUCAAAACAUUUUUGUUGGUAUGUUCUAAGAAAGUUUUUAUCCUUAAUGUAACAUUCUAAUAUAAUUUUGCAUUCAAUUUGUAAUUUAUUUUUAUUUUCAAUGAGAAAUUAUAUUUGAGGAGCAUUUAUUUGUGAUAAGCAAAAUCAGGGGAAGUAACUCCACAAUUAAUUUCCAACAGGCAAAUUAUUUUGACUCAAGACUGGCGUAAUACAGUUCAUUAACAAAUGUCUGCUUGUCCCUCACAAGUCUGUUAUUAAAAUUAUGAUCUCUUAAUUAAUUAAAACACAAAAGAAUCAUGUACAUCGAUUAAAUCCAAUCAUCAAGGUUAACCUCAAAAGGUAAAUCGAUCACGUGGUGUAAACAAUCUACCUGUCAGAUCUGGAUUAAACUGGUUAGAACUGGUCAGUUUUCAUGUAAAAUUUUAAAC